rnacentral:rRNA from 1 species
CAUGCAAGUCGAGGGGCAGCGCGGGAUAGCAAUAUCCUGGCGGCGACCGGCGGAAGGGUGCGUAACGCGUGAGCGACAUGCCCGUUGCCCGGGGACAACCGGUGGAAACGCCGACUAAUCCCCGAUGGGAUAUUGUGCCGCAUGGCACGAUAUUGAAAGUUACGGCGGCGACGGAUUGGCUCGCGUCCGAUUAGCUUGUUGGCGGGGCAACGGCCCACCAAGGCUACGAUCGGUAGGGGUUCUGAGAGGAAGGCCCCCCACAAUGGGACUGAGACACGGCCCAUACUCCUACGGGAGGCAGCAGUGAGGAAUAUUGGUCAAUGGGCGGAAGCCUGAACCAGCCAUGCCGCGUGCGGGAAGGAGGCCCUAUGGGCUGUGAACCGCUUUUGCCUGGGGGCAAUAAGGGCGUCGCGCACGCCCGAUGAGAGUACCAGGCGAAUAAGCAUCGGCUAACUCCGUGCCAGCAGCCGCGGUAAUACGGGGGAUGCGAGCGUUAUCCGGAUUCAUUGGGUUUAAAGGGUGCGUAGGCUGUGCGUCAAGUCGGGGGUGAAAUUCCGGUGCUCAACACCGGGGCUGCCCUUGAUACUGUCGCGCUGGAGUGCGGAUGCCGCCGGAGGAAUGAGUGGUGUAGCGGUGAAAUGCUUAGAUAUCACUCAGAACACCGAUUGCGAAGGCAUCUGGCGAAUCCGUAACUGACGCUGAGGCACGAAAGCGUGGGGAUAGAACAGG